rnacentral:rRNA from 1 species
AGGAUGAACGCUAGCGGCAGGCUUAAUACAUGCAAGUCGAGGGGCAGCAUGGUGUAGCAAUACACUGAUGGCGACCGGCAAACGGGUGCGGAACACGUACAGAACCUUCCUUCGAGCGGGGAAUAGCCCAGAGAAAUUUGGAUUAAUACCCCAUAGUAUACCAGAGUGGCAUCACUUUGUUAUUAAAGAUUUAUCACUUGAAGAUGGCUGUGCGGCUGAUUAGGUAGUUGGCGGGGUAACGGCCCACCAAGCCUGCGAUCAGUAACUGGUGUGAGAGCACGACCAGUCACACGGGCACUGAGACACGGGCCCGACUCCUACGGGAGGCAGCAGUAAGGAAUAUUGGUCAAUGGACGAAAGUCUGAACCAGCCAUGCCGCGUGGAGGAUGAAGGUCCUCUGGAUUGUAAACUUCUUUUAUCUGGGACGAAAAAAGGUCUUUCUAGACCGUCUGACGGUACCAGAUGAAUAAGCACCGGCUAACUCCGUGCCAGCAGCCGCGGUAAUACGGAGGGUGCAAGCGUUAUCCGGAUUCACUGGGUUUAAAGGGUGCGUAGGUGGGUUAGUAAGUCAGUGGUGAAAUCUUCGAGCUUAACUCGGAAACUGCCAUUGAUACUAUCAGUCUUGAAUAUUGUGGAGGUUAGCGGAAUAUGUCAUGUAGCGGUGAAAUGCUUAGAUAUGACAUAGAACACCAAUUGCGAAGGCAGCUGGCUACACAUAUAUUGACACUGAGGCACGAAAGCGUGGGGAUCAAACAGGAUUAGAUACCCUGGUAGUCCACGCCCUAAACUAUGGAUACUCGACAUACGCGAUACACUGUGUGUGUCUGAGCGAAAGCAUUAAGUAUCCCACCUGGGAAGUACGAUCGCAAGAUUG